rnacentral:rRNA from 1 species
CAGUCGCCGCGGUAAUACGUAGGGUGCAAGCGUUAAUCGGAAUUACUGGGCGUAAAGCGUGCGCAGGCGGUUGUGUAAGACAGGUGUGAAAUCCCCGGGCUUAACCUGGGAAUUGCAUUUGUGACUGCACGACUAGAGUGUGUCAGAGGGGGGUGGAAUUCCACGUGUAGCAGUGAAAUGCGUAGAUAUGUGGAGGAACACCAAUGGCGAAGGCAGCCCCCUGGGAUAACACUGACGCUCAUGCACGAAAGCGUGGGGAGCAAACAGGAUUAGAUACCCCGGUAGUCCCUGUCUCUUAUAA